GGUGAGUAAUGCCUAGGAAAUUGCCCUGAUGUGGGGGAUAACCAUUGGAAACGAUGGCUAAUACCGCAUGAUGCCUACGGGCCAAAGAGGGGGACCUUCGGGCCUCUCGCGUCAGGAUAUGCCUAGGUGGGAUUAGCUAGUUGGUGAGGUAAGGGCUCACCAAGGCGACGAUCCCUAGCUGGUCUGAGAGGAUGAUCAGCCACACUGGAACUGAGACACGGUCCAGACUCCUACGGGAGGCAGCAGUGGGGAAUAUUGCACAAUGGGCGCAAGCCUGAUGCAGCCAUGCCGCGUGUGUGAAGAAGGCCUUCGGGUUGUAAAGCACUUUCAGUCGUGAGGAAGGCGGUGUCGUUAAUAGCUGCGUUGUUUGACGUUAGCGACAGAAGAAGCACCGGCUAACUCCGUGCCAGCAGCCGCGGUAAUACGGAGGGUGCGAGCGUUAAUCGGAAUUACUGGGCGUAAAGCGCAUGCAGGUGGUUUGUUAAGUCAGAUGUGAAAGCCCGGGGCUCAACCUCGGAAUAGCAAUUUGAAACUGGCAGACUAGAGUACUGUAAAGGGGGGUAGAAAUAUUCAGG
rnacentral:rRNA from 1 species